rnacentral:misc_RNA from 1 species
GAGAGAGAGAGAGAGAGAGAGCACUAAGUUUGCGUCCGUACAAACAAAUGCUAGAAGCUGAAGAUGGUGGGUCACUGAAGCAGCAGUAGCAGCAGCCCGGCAGCAAGAUGACACGAAACAGAACUUCAAAAAUAAAGGGUUAAAAAAAUUGCAAAUGAUUGAAGAUCAAAGUUUCUAGCAGGCCUAACAAUCCCAGGUAGAGAGAGACUCGAAAAGACAAUGCGUUCACUGUUUUGGAGCAAAGGUAGAAAACAAACAAAAUCCACAGGA